CCCCAAUGACUGUAGGCUGGGGAAUGGUCUGGCUAUAGCGAGACUAAUCAGACUAAUCAGGCUCAGCAUCACUAGAAGUAGAAGUAUCACAAGGAAGAUCAUAAUCAUUAGUCUCUAACUCUGUGAAAUCAACUGACACUAGAUCUGGCUCAUCUAUAGAAAUUUCAGGAGGCAAGAAAGAAAGGAGAGUUGCUUGACGCUUGGUUGCCAUUGCAAGAAAUGAUUACAAAAUUAACAUUCAAAAUAUUCAUGAAAAGUUAAUUUUAAUAACAAUAAUAAUUAAUUUUAA